GCUCCCUUCGUCUAUCGGUUAGGACGUCAGAUUUUCAAUCUGAAAAGACGGGUUCGACUCCCGUAGGGAGCG
rfam:Hyphomicrobium sp. MC1 chromosome, complete genome.